GACCCAGUAUGGUGUAGUGGUUUGAGCACUGGACUAUGACUCUGGAGGCCAGGGUUCGAAUCCCGGCUUGGCUG